rnacentral:rRNA from 1 species
GAGUUUGAUCAUGGCUCAGGAUGAACGCUAGCGGGAGGCUUAACACAUGCAAGUCGAGGGGCAGCACGAUGUAGCAAUACGUUGGUGGCGACCGGCGCACGGGUGAGUAACACGUAUGCAACCUACCCUGUACAGGGGGAUAACCCGGAGAAAUUCGGACUAAUACCGCAUAAUGAUAUUUGAGGGCAUCCUUAGAUAUUUAAAGCUUCGGUGGUACGGGAUGGGCAUGCGGAACAUUAGCUAGUUGGCAGGGUAAUGGCCUACCAAGGCAAUGAUGUUUAGGGGACCUGAGAGGGUGAUCCCCCACACUGGUACUGAGACACGGACCAGAC